rnacentral:rRNA from 1 species
GAUGAACGCUGGCGGCGUGCCUAAUACAUGCCAGUCGAGCGAACGGACGAGAAGCUUGCUUUUCUGAUGUUAGCGGCGGACGGGUGAGUAACACGUGGAUAACCUACCUAUAAGACUGGGAUAACUUCGGGAAACCGGAGCUAAUACCGGAUAAUAUUUUGAACCGCAUGGUUCAAAAGUGAAAGACGGUCUUGCUGUCACUUAUAGAUGGAUCCGCGCUGCAUUAUCUAGUUGGUAAGGUAACGGCUUACCAAGGCAACGAUGCAUAGCCGACCUGAGAGGGUGAUCGGCCACACUGGAACUGAGACACGGUCCAGACUCCUACGGGAGGCAGCAGUAGGGAAUCUUCCGCAAUGGGCGAAAGCCUGACGGAGCAACGCCGCGUGAGUGAUGAAGGUCUUCGGAUCGUAAAACUCUGUUAUUAGGGAAGAACAUAUGUGUAAGUAACUGUGCACAUCUUGACGGUACCUAAUCAGAAAGCCACGGCUAACUACGUG